rnacentral:rRNA from 1 species
GCGGUAGGCGAGCAUUCUCUGUGCGGUGAAGGCGUACGGUAACGAGCGUUGGAGCGCAGAGAAGAGCUGAUGUUGGCGUGAGUAGCGAUAAAGAGAGUGAAAAACUCUCUCGCCGUAAACCCAAGGGUUCCUGGGUAAAGAUAAUCUGCUCAGGGUUAGUCGGUCCCUAAGGCGAGGCCGAAAGGCGUAGUCGAUGGGAAGCAGGCGAACAUUCCUGCACCGGCACGGAUGGUUCCACGAGGAGGGACGGAGGAGGAUAGUCGAGCACCCUAGAGGAUGGGUGUUCAAGCCAGUAGGCUGGGUGCGUAGGAGGCGAUGGCCACAAACGCGCGCCCGAGGCCGAGAGGUGAUGAGGUUGGCUCUCCGGAGCCAAUAACUCGAUGAUUCCAAGCUUCCAGGAAAAGCUUCGCGUGGGUUAACCGCUGUGCCGACCGUACCCAAACCGACACAGGUGGGUGGGAGAAGAUCCCAAGGCGCUCGAGAGAACUCGGGUUAAGGAACUCGGCAAAAUCACACCGUAACUUAGGGAGAAGGUGUACCCC